rnacentral:rRNA from 1 species
AACGAACGCUGGCGGCAUGCCUAACACAUGCAAGUCGAACGAGCACUUCGGGUCCAGUGGCGCAUGGGUGCGUAACGCGUCGGAACCUGACCUCAGGUUCGGACUAACUCUCCGAAAGGGGUGCUACUACCGACCAAAGCCUUUGGCCCAAAGUUUUAUCGCCCUUGGAUGGGCCGGCGUUGGAUUAGUUAGUUGGUAGGGUAAAAGUCUACCAAGGCGACGAUCCAUAGCUGGUAUGAGAGGAUGAGCAGCCACACUGGGACGGAGACACGGCCCAGACUCCUACGGGAGGCAGCAGUGGGUAAUAGUGGACAGUGGGCGAAAGCCUGAUGCAGUAAUGCCGCGUGAGUGAUGAAGGCCUUAGGGUUGUAAAGCGCUUGUACCCAGGAUGAUAAUGACGGUACCGGAUGAAUAAGCUCCGGCUAACUCCGUG